rnacentral:rRNA from 1 species
UGGGGAAUAUUGGACAAUGGGCGCAAGCCUGAUCCAGCCAUACCGCGUGGGUGAAGAAGGCCUUCGGGUUGUAAAGCCCUUUUGUUGGGAAAGAAAUCCAGCCGGCUAAUACCUGGUUGGGAUGACGGUACCCAAAGAAUAAGCACCGGCUAACUUCGUGCCAGCAGCCGCGGUAAUACGAAGGGUGCAAGCGUUACUCGGAAUUACUGGGCGUAAAGCGUGCGUAGGUGGUCGUUUAAGUCCGUUGUGAAAGCCCUGGGCUCAACCUGGGAACUGCAGUGGAUACUGGGCGAUUAGAGUGUGGUAGAGGGUAGCGGAAUUCCUGGUGUAGCAGUGAAAUGCGUAGAGAUCAGGAGGAACAUCCAUGGCGAAGGCAGCUACCUGGACCAACACUGACACUGAGGCACGAAAGCGUGGGGAGCAAACAGGAUUAGAUACCCUGGUAGUCCACGCCCUAAACGAUGCGAACUGGAUGUUGGGUGCAAUUUGGCACGCAGUAUCGAAGCUAACGUGUUAAGUUCGCCGCCUGGGGAGUACGGUCGCAAGACUG